rnacentral:rRNA from 1 species
CGAACGCUGGCGGCGUGCUUAACACAUGCAAGUCGAAUGCGAAUCGGUGUUUCGGCAUCGUAGUAGCAUGGCAGACGGGUGAGGAGCGCGUAUCUGACCUGACACUCGAUGGGGGAUAGUCCUGCGAAAGUGGGCAUAAUACCGCGUACGCUCGUGAGGGUAGGGCUUCACGAGGAAAGGUGGCCUCUGCAUGCACGCUGCUGUCGAGUGAGGGGGAUGCGUCCUAUUAGCUAGUUGGUGGGGUAAUGGCUUACCAAGGCGGCGAUGGGUCGCUGGUCUGAGAGGAUGAUCAGCCACACUGGGACUGAGACACGGCCCAGACUCCUACGGGAGGCAGCAGUGGGGAAUUUUGCGCAAUGGGCGCGAGCCUGACGCAGCAACGCCGCGUGAGUGAGGACGCCUUUCGAGGUGUAAAGCUCUGUCAGCAGGGACGAAGACGCGGGUGGUGAAGAGCCACCGGUGCUGACGGUACCUGCGAAGGAAGCCCCGGCUAACUCC